rnacentral:rRNA from 1 species
AGGCCCAGGGGACUGCCUUCGCCAUCGGUGUUCCUCCGCAUAUCUACGCAUUUCACUGCUACACGCGGAAUUCCAUCCCCCUCUGCCGUACUCCAGCUAUGCAGUCACAAAUGCAGUUCCCAGGUUAAGCCCGGGGAUUUCACAUCUGUCUUGCAUAACCGCCUGCGCACGCUUUACGCCCAGUAAUUCCGAUUAACGCUUGCACCCUACGUAUUACCGCGGCUGCUGGCACGUAGUUAGCCGGUGCUUAUUCUUCGGGUACCGUCAUCCUCCCGAGGUGUUAACCCGGAAGAUUUCUUCCCCGACAAAAGCGGUUUACAACCCGAAGGCCUUCUUCCCGCACGCGGCAUGGCUGGAUCAGGGUUGCCCCCAUUGUCCAAAAUUCCCCACUGCUGCCUCCCGUAGGAGUCUGGGCCGUGUCUCAGUCCCAGUGUGGCUGGUCGUCCUCUCAGACCAGCUACAGAUCGUCGGCUUGGUGAGCCGUUACCUCACCAACAACCUAAUCUGACAUCGGCCGCUCCAACAGCGCGAGGCCUUGCGGUCCCCCGCUUUCACCCGUAGGUCGUAUGCGGUAUUAAUCCGGCUUUCGCCGAGCUAUCCCCCACUACUGGGCACGUUCCGAUGCAUUACUCACCCGUUCGCCACUCGCCACCAGGGUUGCCCCCGUGCUGCCGUUCGACUUGCAUGUGUAAGGCAUGCCGCCAGCGUUCAAUCUGAGCCAGGAUCAAACUCU